UACGUAGGGUGCGAGCGUUAAUCGGAAUUACUGGGCGUAAAGCGUGCGCAGGCGGUUGUGUAGGACAGAUGUGAAAUCCCCGGGCUUAACCUGGGAACUGCGUUUGUGACUGCACGGCUAGAGUACGGCAGAGGGGGGUGGAAUUCCUGGUGUAGCAGUGAAAUGCGUAGAUAUCAGGAGGAACAUCGAUGGCGAAGG
rnacentral:rRNA from 1 species